UGUAAUCAGAAGAUAAGAGUUAUCAUCCGUCAUCUGAAUCAAGUUUCAAGAGAAAAUCAUUGCAAGACAGCCUCUGGUUAGUGGGUGCACAAUAACAUCUUACAGGAUUCCUGGAGCUCAGCAGGAGGUGCUGAAUUUUGCUGUGGAGCUACACAAGGGAGCUGCUGCUACUUCUUCCAACCUGCUGAACCACAUUGAAUCCAGCUGUGGCCGUGGGCUCUGUGAGAAUUGGCACACCAGCAGAUUUCUUGGGUGGCUACUGUGGUGA
rnacentral:lncRNA from 1 species